UACACCUGGAGGGCACAGGGGACAGGAAUCAAUCGGGCCUCCCUUGUUGGCAGCGGGCAAUAAGAGCCUCUGGCAGGUGAGAGAAGGACGUGUGUACGCAGGGCAGCAGGAGAGCCGGAGUAGCGUGGCUGUGCGGGAGGACGCCGCCAAAGGUAGCGCGAGCAACGGAGCGGCAACUGGCGGCAAGGCGCGGCAGCAGUAGAAGGAGAGCGGGCCUUCAGUCAGUGGACGGCAGCCCCUUCCACGGUGGCAGCGAGACGUCAGUGAAUGGUUAAGGCACGGAACAGCGGCGGGCGGAGUUCAGAGCUCUGCCCUCCCGGUGGAACCUCAAGCGGAGCAGCGAGGCGACAACAGAGGACGCGGUUGGCCUGGUUCCCACUGGUGGAAUCGGCGGAUUCUUCAUGGCUGAAGUGUGGCGGAGCCUGACUCGGAACUUUGGGACUGAGCACCAUUAUUUUUUUAUUGUGCUGAGUUUUAUGUUUUUUCUCUCUCCCCUGAUCAGGGUAUUUUUAGUGUUGUAAAUAAAGCGUAUUUAAUUUUUAUUGACUAUUUUAA